UACGAGGGGGGGCGAGCGUUGUCCGGAAUCAUUGGGCGUAAAGGGCGCGUAGGUGGCUUCUCAAGCGUGCGGUGAAAGCCUGGGGCUCAACUCCGGGUCGGCCGUCGAUACUUCCGGGCUUGAGCACUGUAGAGGCAGAUGGAAUUCCGGGUGUAGCGGUGGAAUGCGUAGAGAUCCGGAAGAACACCGGUGGCGAAGGCGGUCUGCUGGGCAGUUGCUGACGCUAAUGCGCGACAGCGUGGGGAGCAAACAGG
rnacentral:rRNA from 1 species